ACUCCUACGGGAGGCAGCAGUGGGGAAUUUUGGACAAUGGGCGAAAGCCUGAUCCAGCAAUGCCGCGUGAGUGAAGAAGGCCUUCGGGUUGUAAAGCUCUUUUGUCAGGGAAGAAACGGUGAGAGCUAAUAUCUUUUGCUAAUGACGGUACCUGAAGAAUAAGCACCGGCUAACUACGUGCCAGCAGCCGCGGUAAUACGUAGGGUGCAAGCGUUAAUCGGAAUUACUGGGCGUAAAGCGUGCGCAGGCGGUUUUGUAAGUCUGAUGUGAAAUCCCCGGGCUCAACCUGGGAAUUGCAUUGGAGACUGCAAGGCUAGAAUCUGGCAGAGGGGGGUAGAAUUCCACGUGUAGCAGUGAAAUGCGUAGAUAUGUGGAGGAACACCGAUGGCGAAGGCAGCCCCCUGGGUCAAGAUUAACGCUCAUGCACGAAAGCGUGGGGAGCAAACAGGAUUAGAUACCCGUGUAGUCCCAUG
rnacentral:rRNA from 1 species